rnacentral:rRNA from 1 species
AUUGAACGCUGGCGGCAUGCUUUACACAUGCAAGUCGAACGGUAACAGGCCGCAAGGUGCUGACGAGUGGCGAACGGGUGAGUAAUGCAUCGGAACGUGCCCAGUCGUGGGGGAUAACUGCUCGAAAGAGCAGCUAAUACCGCAUACGAUCUAUGGAUGAAAGCGGGGGACCGUAAGGCCUCGCGCGAUUGGAGCGGCCGAUGUCAGAUUAGGUAGUUGGUGGGGUAAAGGCUCACCAAGCCAACGAUUUGUAGCUGGUCUGAGAGGACGACCAGCCACACUGGGACUGAGACCCGGCCCAGACUCCUACGGGAGGCAGCAGUGGGGAAUUUUGGACAAUGGGGGCAACCCUGAUCCAGCAAUGCCGCGUGCAGGAAGAAGGCCUUCGGGUUGUAAACUGCUUUUGUACGGAACGAAACGGUCUGGGUUAAUACCCUGGGCUAAUGACGGUACCGUAAGAAUAAGCACCGGCUAACUACGUGCCAGCCGCCGCGGUAAAAC